UUUUUACCCACCGAAACCCUUUGCCUCCACCAUUUCCGUCUCCCGCCGAAUCCAUCUCCUGCCGAAUCGAUCUCCCUAUUUUUUCUUUUUUUUGGAAUCGAUCUCUUUCCCUCUCUCCCUCAGCUUUUUCUCUCCCUCUCUCGAAGUCCAUCCUCGUCACCGCCGCCGCCGCCGCCGUUGCCGCUACCGCUGCCGACGCCUCUUGCCCUCUCUCUUUCCAUCUCUGAUGCUCUCCCUCGGCGAUCUCACUACCAAUUGAGACUCGCGAGGACGGAAAAAGCAAAGGAAAAUCCAGGGGAAAACAGAGGAUGAAUCAACGUAAAUAAAAGAAGGACGGAAAAGUUAAAAGUUGACACUGUGAUUAGGCGGACUCACGAAGCCGUCAGAAAUGAGAAGUUGGAGUGGAAGAGGGCGCAUCUCGAGAAAAGGAUGAAGGUUGUCAUUCCAUCGGGCUAUAUCAUACCACUUCUGCACCACAUUAGGGAUUCGUAUAUGUGCAAAGUUGGCAUCAUUGUUCAAGCGUACGUUCUCUAGAUGAUGUUCGACUGGUAGAGAGUUACGAAGCCACAGAAGCAGAUCUUUGAUUAUUUACAACAUGACUUUGAUAUCGAGGAGAUUGAUAUCCUGCACGUGUAGGAGGCUAUCGCUAAGCAUAUGAGGAGGUUGCUUAAGGAGUUCAGAUAUGAGCUCCAUAGUCAUUGAAAGGAGGUCUUCAAUACACGUAGGGCAGCGGCGGUACGUGAGACACUCCACAAGAAUGUUUCACCCUCCGACUGGAAUUUCCUAUGCAACAAGUACGAGAACUCUACAUGCAGGGCCUUGUGUGCGAAGAAUAUAGAGAACCAGUCGAGGUUGACAGUCAUGCAUUGUGGCGGAUCAAAGACAUUUGCACAGCACUAGUAUGAGCUGGAGCGGAUGAUGCAUAUACUAUCCCAGCCUAUCGCUGAGGGCUCUAUCCCAUCCGCAGAUGAUGAUAUCUGUGAUGAGGUGCUUGGUAGGAGAUCUAAUUAUAUUAUGGGAUUGGGAUAUGUGGUUGUGGCCCUCAGCUUUAGAGCAUCACAUAUUUCUUGUGAUGCUUAUCGAUCUGCUUGAGGUGGAGAGGAGGCAUGAGGAGGAGAUGUGUCAAGUUGAGGAGCGCCGUAGAUUUCAGGAGGAUAUAGCGGCCUUAUAGUGUGCUAAUGCUUGGUUUACGUCUCAACUUGAAGCAUUUGGGGGCAAAGCUCGAUGAGUUAUAUCGCCGCAUGUCUCUCCCAUCGACCUUUGACGUCCCUACUGAUGCUUAUGAUGAUGACUCUGUCGAUGAUGAUGAUGGAUGUCCUUCUGUGAUCAAUAUUAUUUUAUAUUAUUUUUAAUCUAUAUAUUUUCAUCAUUUAGUAAAUAAUUAGUUUACUAAUUUAAUUUUUUAUAUUUUUUAAUCUAUUGCAGGUUUGUGAUAUGGCUUGGCAUGACAAUAAACUCUAAAUUUGUUUGGAGUUUAAUUUUGUAUGGAUGUAUAUAUUUAUAUGAUAUUUUAUACGGUUGUAUAUAUAUAUAUUUUUUGCUAUAUGUGUGGUUAUAAAACUUA